UUCUUAUCAAGAGAGGCGGAGGGACUGGCCCAAUGAAGCCCGGCAACCUCUUUGCACUCGCGCAGUGCAAAAAAGGUGCCAACUCCUGCGGGAUGAGUUUAACUCGUUCCGAGAGAUAAGAA
rnacentral:ncRNA from 1 species